CCAACUGGAAAAAUUAGAGAAUUGUCAACUAUAUUGUGUUUGCGAGUCGGUUCUAGACUGGUUUACUCCUAGUGACAUAUCGAGUUCAGGGGCUAAACCCUUUGAUAUAAUAGACUAUGUUUGACAUUUUGUUAAUUUAGAAAAGGGAGAUAAGGUAGACUCUAAUAAGAUUUAAGAUGGGUGGAUGAAGUGGAGAAGUUAGUUGGGGUGUUAUUGUAAUUGAUAUACUGCCUCGGAGACAAGUAAAAAUUGCAUAAGGUGAUAAACUGACUUGCAUUGUUGGCCAAUUCAGAAUUUGGGGCAACAGAUGAGCCUGCCUCUAUGAGAAUGUUGAGGUGAAUGGUGUAGUAGCACUAAUGGUCACCACUUUGGGAAGCAUAAUAUGAAACUAUGUAUGAAGAACAAGUCAGACACUAUAAGAGAAGUCUCCAGAAUGGCAAAUACGUCAUUUUCAUGUAAAAGACAAGGGAAACAUAUUGGUUUUGUCUGGAAGCAAUUGGAAAAAGCAUAGAGAUCAAUUACACGUGGUCCUCCAUUUUUUCACGAUAAGUUGCACGGUUGUCCACAGGUAUUAAGUCAGUCCUACUUUUUGGAAGAGUUUUUCACCUUAUCUUCUUUAGAAGAAACCAAAUUAGAAUUGUUUUGAUGGAUUUCAUAGAAAAUUUUGCAUGCUGGUUAGCAUACAUUUAUCGCGUUCUAGUUUGGCUAGGAAUGUUAGCAUGAAUAACGAGUAUAUCAAAGCGUAGCAUACUAGUGUAAAUUAGUAAGAUGGUAUAGACUUGCAACAAAAAAUUUAAGAUGUUAAAUAGGAGGAUGUAUUAAACGGUUUGCAAAGAGGAAAAGAAGACCUAAGUUAAGAAUGAUGAAAGUUGUGAAGAAGAACUUGAAAAAUAUUUAUAGUCAGAAUGAUUUGCAAUUUACAAAAAAGGAUUCACAAAGCUUGCCUCUCAAAAGUUGGGAUAAGUUUAUUGGUAAUGGUUUAAGCCCUUUAGGACAAGUACAAUGAUGGCAUGUUAUUUAAGAAAGGAAAUUGUACCACGACUUGUUUCGGAAGUUCCCGCUGGAUCUGGUGGGAUUGUCCCAAAGAGAGCUAGAGAGGGAGCUGGAGCAGGAAUGAUGCCACCAUAUUCAGUUGGAACAUCUCAAACAAGCCCUAAAUGAUAUGGUGCAUGUGACCUCAAAAAAAAGGAAAAAGAAAAAAAAAUCCUGACAGAUUUUUGGUCCUUAAUGUUUACAUUGCUUAAUUAUAAGGUAACUGAUGUUACUUUUUGUCCUUGAUUGCAGAAAAGGGUAAUGGCACAACCAUCCUAUGAAUACAAAGUACCUAAUUCUCGUAAAACCUAAAAUUUGCCUAUCCUUUUUGCUUUUCACUCAAGUUCGGUUGAGCCUUAACUAAACAAUUAUACCAUUAAUUCCCUCUUUAUGCAGCUAGAUGCAAAUUGAAUAUUAAAAAAUGUAUCUCUUACCAAAAAAAAAAUAAAAAUAAAAAAUGUAUCUUGGAAGGUCAAAUAACAUUAAUAGAUUAAAAUACAUUCCAAAAAAUUUGAAAAACCUAAGUGUUCUAUAUUUAAUUAUUUUGAAUCAAUAUAUUUUAAACAUGGGAUCUCAUAUUAGUUGUAGCUUAAGAUAUACUGGUAAUAGAUCAUAAGAUUUGCUUUCAAAUGGAUUUGUUGUGUUGAAGAUGUUCUUUUUCUCCCUGCAUUUCCUAGGCCUUUGAAUUUAGCAAAUCACCAAAAUGCUUAUCAAGAGAUUAACAAAUUGUUUAAGGAGAGGGCAUUUGUCAAACGGAUAUUUGGAGGUAAUGAGUGACAACAAAACUAAGAGAUUAAUCAUCUAUUUAUAUGAUUCCCAUGAUUAAGGUUGAUAUUGUCUAUUACCAGAUUUUGGACAUGAAAUCCAAAGCCCUUCUCUUCUAGGACUUUUUUCUUAUAGGUUUUUCAUAGAUGUCAGAUCCAUGCUAGAUAUAGAAGGCUUGGACCCAAUAAUAUGAUAUAAAGUUCCCUCUUCUGUAUAGAUUGUCAUAUUAUGCAGGAUGCAUUAGUGA
rnacentral:lncRNA from 1 species